rnacentral:rRNA from 1 species
GACGAACCGUGCGAACGUUGUUCGGAAUCACUGGGCUUAAAGGGCGCGUAGGCGGGGUCUCAGGUCCGGGGUGAAAGCCUCCCGCCCAACGGGAGAAGCGCCUCGGAUACCGGGGCCCUCGAGGAGGGUAGGGGCAGGCGGAACUGUGGGUGGAGCGGUGAAAUGCGUAGAUAUCGUUUGGAACGCCAAUGGUGAAAACAACUUGCUGGGGGUGUGCUGACGCUGAGACACGAAAGCCAGGGGAGCAAACGGG